rnacentral:rRNA from 1 species
CCUACGGGAGGCAGCAGUGGGGAAUAUUGCGCAAUGGGGGAAACCCUGACGCAGCAACGCCGCGUGAGUGAGGAAGGACUUCGGUCUGUAAAGCUCUGUUAAUGAGGAAAAAUGGUAGUUGGUCUAAUAGGCCGAUUAUUUGAUGGUACUCAUAGAGGAAGCACCGGCUAACUUCGUGCCAGCAGCCGCGGUAAUACGAAGGGUGCAAGCGUUGUUCGGAUUUAUUGGGCGUAAAGCGCGCGUAGGCGGACCCGCAAGUCAGAUGUGAAAUCUCGAGGCUCAACCUCGAAACUGCGUCUGAAACUACAGGUCUAGAAUCUCGGAGGGGGAAGGGGAAUUUCGCAUGUAGGGGUAAAAUCCGUAGAUAUGCGAAGGAACACCAGAGGCGAAGGCGCCUUCCUGGACGAGUAUUGACGCUGAGGCGCGAAAGCGUGGGGAUCAAACAGGAUUAGAUACCCUGGUAGUCCACGCUGUAAACGAUGAACACUAGGUAUUGGAGGAUUUGACCCCCUUUCUAGUGCGUAGCUACGACGUUAGUAGUUCCGUCCGUCGGAGUACGGUCGCGAGACGUAAACGUAACGAAGUAGUAGACGUGAGAGAGCGACGACGACGACGACGGAGGAGGAGG